rnacentral:lncRNA from 1 species
CUGUAUGCUGCCAAUGGCAUAGGAGCUGUCUUGGCCCACAAAGGAUAUUUCCGUGAAGCUCGUGAUGUGUUCGCCCAAGUGAGAGAAGCAACAGCAGAUAUCAGUGACGUGUGGCUGAACUUAGCACACAUCUACGUCGAGCAGAAGCAGUAUAUCAGCGCCGUUCAGAUGGUAACACCUUUGCCUCUCCAGACAUUUGCAUGUCACAUGGACCCUUUGCUUCCUUAACCCUCCUGGUCCCAUCAUGGACACUCAUGACAGCUCCUCUGACACUGUCUGUUCAGAAAUUUAUAGCCAUGUAAUGACAAGGCCAGGUAGAUAUGAGUCCCAGUUCCAUGGAUUCAUGCCACCAGCAGAGAAGAUCCUCUGAC